CAAUAGCGUAUAUUAAAGUUGUUGCAGUUAAAAAGCUCGUAGUUGAAUUUUUGCUUGCCGCCGAUGUCGGAACUUCCGUACGUUCGGCGGCGUGCAUCCUUGGGUGGAACCUGUGUGGCAUUAGGUUGUCGUGCAGGGGAUGCUCAUCGUUUACUGUGAAAAAAUUAGAGUGUUCAAAGCAGGCUUACGCCGUUGAAUAUAUUAGCAUGGAAUAAUAAGAUAGGACCUUGGUACUAUUUUGUUGGUUUGCGCACCGAGGUAAUGAUUAACAGGGACAGUUGGGGGUAUUCGUAUUCCAUUGUCAGAGGUGAAAUUCCUGGAUUUCUGGAAGACGAACUACUGCGAAAGCAUUUACCAAGGAUGUUUNCAUUAA
rnacentral:rRNA from 1 species